CGGGUGAGUAAUGCAUAGGAAUCUAUAAUACAGUCGACGAUAGCUUGUGGAAACAUAAGGUAAUACUGAAUGAUCGGUAGAAGGUAAAGCUGGGGACCGUAAGGCCUGGCCGCUCUAUAGUGAGCCUAUGCUAGAUUAGCUAGUUGGUAAGGUAAAGGCUUACCAAGGCUGGGAUCUAUAGCUGUUCUGAGAGGAAGGACAGCCACACUGGGACUGAGACACGGCCCAGACUCUUACGGGAGGCAGCAGUGGGGAAUAUUGGACAAUGGGCGAAAGCCUGAUCCACCAAUGCCGCCUGCGUGAAGAACGCCUUCGGGCUGUAAA
rnacentral:rRNA from 1 species